GCUCGUGUCGUGAGAUGUUGGGUUAAGUCCCGCAACGAGCGCAACCCCUAUUGUUAGUUGCCAUCAUUCAGUUGGGCACUCUAGCGAGACUGCGGUAAUAAACCGGAGGAAGGUGGGGAUGACGUCAAAUCAUCAUGCCCCUUAUGACCUGGGCUACACACGUGCUACAAUGGUUGGUACAACGAGUUGCGAGUCGGUGACGGCAAGCUAAUCUCUUAAAGCCAAUCUCAGUUCGGAUUGUAGGCUGCAACUCGCCUACA
rnacentral:rRNA from 1 species